UACGGAGGGGGCUAGCGUUGUCCGGAAUUAUUGGGCGUAAAGAGCUCGUAGGCGGCUUGUCACGUCGGAUGUGAAAGCCCGGGGCUUAACCCCGGGUCUGCAUUCGAUACGGGCAGGCUAGAGUGUGGUAGGGGAGAUCGGAAUUCCUGGUGUAGCGGUGAAAUGCGCAGAUAUCAGGAGGAACACCGGUGGCGAAGGCGGAUCUCUGGGCCAUUACUGACGCUGAGGAGCGAAAGCGUGGGGAGCAAACAGG
rnacentral:rRNA from 1 species